rnacentral:rRNA from 1 species
UUCGCCCUUAGAGUUUGAUCCUUUCUCAGGACGAACACUGGCGGCGUGCUUAACACAUGCAAGUCGAACGGAGCGCCUAUGAAGGAGAUUUCGGUCAACGGAAUAGGCUGCUUGGUGGCGGACGGGUGAGUAACGCGUGAGGAACCUGCCUUUCAGAGGGGGACAACAGUUGGAAACGACUGCUAAUACCGCAUAACACAUAGGGGUCGCAUGGCAUUUAUGUCAAAGAUUUAUCGCUGAAAGAUGGCCUCGCGUCUGAUUAGCUAGUUGGUGAGGUAACGGCUCACCAAGGCGACGAUCAGUAGCCGGACUGAGAGGUUGGCCGGCCACAUUGGGACUGAGAUACGGCCCAGACUCCUACGGGAGGCAGCAGUGGGGAAUAUUGGGCAAUGGGCGCAAGCCUGACCCAGCAACGCCGCGUGAAGGAAGAAGGCUUUCGGGUUGUAAACUUCUUUUGACAGGGAAGAGUAGAAGACGGUACCUGUCGAAUAAGCCACGGCUAACUACGUGCCAGCAGCCGCGGUAAUACGUAGGUGGCAAGCGUUGUCCGGAUUUACUGGGUGUAAAGGGCGCGUAGCCGGGUUGACAAGUCAGAUGUGAAAUCCUGCGGCUUAACCGCAGAACUGCAUUUGAAACUGUUGAUCUUGAGUGCUGGAGAGGCAGACGGAAUUCCUAGUGUAGCGGUGAAAUGCGUAGAUAUUAGGAGGAACACCAGUGGCGAAGGCGGUCUGCUGGACAGCAACUGACGGUGAGGCGCGAAAGCGUGGGGAGCAAACAGGAUUUAGAUACCCUGGUAGUCCACGCUGUAAACGAUGGAUACUAGGUGUGCGGGGACUGACCCCCUGCGUGCCGCAGCUAACGCAAUAAGUAUCCCACCUGGGGAGUACGAUCGCAAGGUUGAAACUCAAAGGAAUUGACGGGGGCCCGCACAAGCGGUGGAUUAUGUGGUUUAAUUCGAUGCAACGCGAAGAACCUUACCAGGGCUUGACAUCCUACUAACGAAGUAGAGAUACAUUAGGUACCCUUCGGGGGAAGUAGAGACAGGUGGUGCAUGGUUGUCGUCAGCUCGUGUCGUGAGAUGUUGGGUUAAGUCCCGCAACGAGCGCAACCCUUAUUGUUAGUUGCUACGCAAGAGCACUCUAGCGAGACUGCCGUUGACAAAACGGAGGAAGGUGGGGACGACGUCAAAUCAUCAUGCCCCUUAUGUCCUGGGCUACACACGUAAUACAAUGGCGGCCAACAGAGGGAUGCAAAGCUGUGAAGUGGAGCGAACCCCUAAAGGCCGUCCCAGUUCAGAUUGCAGUCUGCAACUCGACUGCAUGAAGUCGGAAUCGCUAGUAAUCGCGGAUCAGCAUGCCGCGGUGAAUACGUUCCCGGGCCUUGUACACACCGCCCGUCA